rnacentral:lncRNA from 1 species
ACCAUGCACACUGUUCCUAGUGCUAAAUAAAAGUGUCCAAAGCCUACAAAACUACUACUUGUCACGGAUUCAGAUUUCUAAUUAGGAGACAGAGGACAGCGGAACACCUGGGUCAGCUGCUGACCAGUGUGGUGAGAGAACACCAGCGCAGGGCAGAGGGCAGAGGCUGAAGGAGGAGGGUGGAACACUGCUGCUUCAUUAGGAGACACGUCGUGGAGAAGGUGGACUUUGUCUAAAGAUCUGAAGGCAAAGAUGAGGUGCUACCUGAGGAAGAGUCUUCUAGAACAAGGGGGCCCAGUGUGCAAAGACACUUGGAGUAGAGGCUCUGGUCUUGGCAAACAUGUGUACUCUAUUCAGUCCCUUAGAGAACACCACGGGCUCGUCAUCUGAAAUACAGCGUCCACCCUCAUUGCUUUCUCUCUUCCUCAGACCACACUUCAAUAAUCACUGCCUCAUUACUUUCAUGGUCUAAUUUCUGGACCCCUAUAUCUUGUCCCCCACACACAUACACUUAUACCCUCUUCAGCAUAGAUGCUAUGUGAUUCUAUUAAAACAAGUCUAUUCGUGCUAGGUUUCAAAGUCUCCCAUGGUUUCACAAAUCACGCCACACAAAUGCCUCGCAUCUUGUCCAUUGCCUGCUCAGCCCCCACCCCCACCCCCUGCCUCUAACCCGUCACUCAUAUGCCUAAACUCGCUCACUCAGCCUCGUCUCCAGUCCUUCAGACUCCUCCUGUUCUACAAGCUUCGGAAGUCAGCAUUUAUCUGGCAUUAAGAACAGCGUGUGUGGUAGCUACUCAAUAGCUCCUUGUUGAAAAGGGUACUGCUCUGUCACUGGAAAAAGCCUUGAGCGUAUGAAUACACAUGCUGUGGUAACUGAGCUCUGUGACAUCCCUCAAUGACCCUUGCCUUCUGGCUGCCCUGCCUUGGUGGACUCUCCUCCCACAAUGGAUCAGAGUGAACCUAUUUGACCCAGAGAUUACAUGAUGGUGUGUGACUUCCCAGAUUAGAUUACAAGACAUAGAACAAUCACUACUUUUUCCUCUGAGGGGCGCCAGUUGCCGUGGGAGCACUCAUCUACCCUGAAAGUGAGUUCAGUGGCAAGUGACUGAGACCUCCAUCCAAUAACCAGUACCACCCCCAUCUAGUAACCAAUACCACUUCCCCAUCUAAUAACCAAUAUUACCCACCCAUCCCCAUUUAAUGACCAACACCAUUUGCCAGCCACUGAAAGAGAUUUGCCUGCUUAUAACUAAGUUUUCAUAUGGCCACAACUUUGGUCAACAUCUUGACUAAAACUUCAUGAGUGACUGUCCAAGGCAGAACCAAUCAGCUGAUGUUCUCAUUUCUGGUACACAGGUAACAUUCGAGACUACCCUUACUGUUUAGUGGUACUGCUUUGGGAGAAAUUUAUACCUGGAUUUACUAUAUGGAAAUGCUGUAUCCGAAAUCUAAAAUGUGAGUAGAAUCCUGCAAUCCAACACUGAGUAAGAACCAGGAGGAUAAAGAUGAAGAUGAAGAUAAAGUGAAAACACUAAACGACUUUGAAGUGACAGCCACUGGGGCUAAUGGGACAUGAGGAAAACAUCACUCUGCAUGAGAAGAAAGGAGAACCUUUUUAAGUACUGGUAAGAAAGUUAGCAUGCUGUUGCCUGGGACAAAGUAGAAAUGCUCCUGUUGACAUGGGGACAUCUAUCUGAGGAAAUUCCCAGGCAGGGUAUUAAAGAGUAUGGGUUUAGACUUUCUAUAAAAUACAAUGAGACAAAUAAGCUAAAAGAAGAGCUAUUUUAAUUUUUAAUUUUUUUAAAAUUUAAAGUAAAAAAAAUGCUAUAUUUAAAGGUUCCUAGCCUCUAUGGAUGCCUCGGUGCUAGACUGUGAAAAUGCCUUCUAGGUAAAGAUAACAUCAGAGGCAUCAGAGGAAAGCAUGAUAAGAAGAUAAAGCCUACCUUGUGUUUGUAAAAUCACUUGUUAAGAUCUGGGAAUAUCCAGGCAGUGCCUUGGGGAACAACUGAGAGGAACAACAGAGGCUUCUAACGAGGCUAAAGGUCAUACUCUUGUGCAGUCCCCAAAUCCCCAUGGCAGCCUAACAUCCAAGAAUGAUCUUCUCAGAAGACCCAUGGUCGUGGUCUUAACAAAUGUAAUGAGCAUCACUCAUAUUUCCAGAGGAACCACAACUUUUAUAGACUUAGCGAGGCCAUAUCUAACGAGGACUCAAAGAGACAUGGACAAUUUAAAGUGAAGAGGCCUCUGAACUCUAGGAAGAAGGGAAACCAUGAAAGCAGAAAAUAUGGACUGUGUGUAUGGAAAGACACUCUAGAAAGCACAGAAGGAGCCGAGAACCAGAGGGACCUAUUCUCUGGCUCUGGCUCUUAAUCAGGGAGGGACUCCUGCAGGUCCUGAUGAAGUUCUGUUCUGCUAUGGACCAGUGUGUCUUGUGUGAUGGCUAUCUUUCUCCUCUGUGUGUCAUCCCCUCAUGCUCUCCUUGAAUAUUGAGUUUCAUGUUAGGUUUCAGCAGACAGAUAACCUAUGUCUUCAGAGCCUAGGCCACAAACAAACCCCAAUAACAACUAAAACUUUUGUGUGAAACCAAAAGGGAAAUUGAAAAAAGUCUUGAAGACCAGUGAAAAAGGAAAUAAAGCAAUAACAAACACAGGGUGCGGCAAAAGAAAUCCAGGGUUUUAGGAGUCAAGAAAUGGGCUUGAGUCUCCCUAGGCUUCUGUAGAGGCAGAGCUGAAGCAAUGCUGAGAUGGGAGUGAGAGACUUGGAAGGGAUACAACUCUGCACGUUAAAAGUCACAAAUCAAUGGGUGCCUAAGGUGAGUCUCGUGUCCCAGGUCCGAGAUGGCCUUUGGUGACCUGAUUCAUGUUAGUGCAGACAGACCUCUUCCCCAGUGAGUGGGGUUGGUCUGUGUAACAGAAUAUUUCCGAAGGAAGGCAUGUGACUCCAGUGACUAGGUUAGGAAAUACUUAGCAGCUUCUACGCCUUGCUUUGUUGGAUCACUUACUGUGUGAGAAAUCAGCUGCUAUAAUAUGGCAUAUCCAUAAUAUGGGGAUACCCAAGCAGCUGUAUGCUCCAUAUGCUCCUGAAAUUCUAACUCAGAGCAGAGAGAUAAAAUGUUCAUUGUUUCACUGGGAGACUAAGUUUUAUGAAAAUAUUGUAUGCAGCAAAGGAUACUCAACACAAAUAAAACUGACAUGUUUUCCAAAUCUUUAGAAACUGAAGUUCCAUGACAGCCCUAACUUUAGUAGGUACAUUUCUUGUCACUGUAACAAGAUGGCUGGCAGAGACAGUCUAAAAGAAGUAAAUUUUUUGGCUCGUGGGUUUUUGUUUGUGUUUGUAUAAUAUAGUAUUUUAAUUACCUCUCUGAGUUCGAUGCCAGCUUGGUCUACACAGUGGGUUCCAGGGACAGCCAGGACUACAUAGAGAGACCCUGACUCAACAAAACAAAACAAACAAAUAACUAUUUGUGUGAAGCCAAAAGAGGGUUGUUUUUGUUUUGUUUUGAUCUACCAAUGAAAACAGAAAUGUAGAAAAUGGAAACACACAGGACACAAAGAAGUCCCGAGAGGAAAGUUGAUGGUGAUACAUGCCAAUAAUGAGAAAAAAGAAAGAUCUCAAAUAAACGACCUGAUUCUAUAUCUCAAGGAACUAGAGAGAGAGAGAACAGGAAGAAAAUCAAUACGAGAUCUAGUAGGAUAAUAUACAUAGGACACGCCAGAGCAUAAAUAGAUGAAGAAGCAGUUCGAGAAUCAACAUGUUGUGGUGGAGCAUCAGUUAUUCCAUGAACAUCACAGAGUAGAAACAGCGGUGGUCCAGUAGCCAUGGCAACAAAACAAGCAGAAGAACACAACAACAGCUAGGUGUGUAGUAACAGUAAGGAAGUUAUUGACAAGAUGCUGAUGGAAAGUAUACUCAGAGUACCCUUGCUUGGGAUUCUAGCCAUUCCGUUUCCACGCCUUCCCCAGCAAGUGAUCUUGGCAGAUGCUUGAGCCCACAGAAGUAGAAGUGUGAUUCAGGGAUGCAGCUUCCAUAGGGUUCUUAUCCAGGAUGGGAUGGCAUGUUGCAGUGAUAAAGCUGUUUAGACAUCACCCACACUUCUGUUACGGUUCAUUCGUGCUCCUGUAAGCUCAAUAUACUAACUAGUUCAGCAAGCUUGACUUGAGUGGGCUCAUUACCUUGGUCUGUCCCAAUCUGGGGCAAAUAAAUGUUUAUUUAUCUCUUCCCAGAAGAAGAAAUGCAACAAAACAGAAAAGAUCAGUGAAACUUGAAGCUUUUUUUUUUUAAAGAUUAAAGCGAACAAACUUUUACCUAGAUUAGUAAGAGGGAAGAGUCAAAUAAGCAAUUGACAUCAUAAAAUGAAGAAGACGUCACAGUUAGUACUGCAGAAUCACAAAGCCUAAGAGACUGGGGUGAGCAGGAUCUUCAACAAGCCGAACAACCUAGAAGAGAUGGACAGGUUCCUCAGAACGACAGCCUAACAGGAUGGAGCCACAGACAGAGACUGACGGAUUAGUAACCAGUGUGGAGAUGGAAGUAUCUCCAGGACCUCACCCCGGCUUCCCAAUGGUUCCCUGGUUCUUGUGAUCUCAACUGACCUAUUGUAGAUGCUAUAGGAGAACUGUGAGAACUAACUGUUGAUCUGAAAGCAACCAUGAUUUGCUACAGAGGUGCGAGCUUGCACAGAGACCUGUGAAAUCCCACAGAACACAGGAAGUGUCUAAUUCCGCUGGAUCGGGCUGGUGUCAAGGCAGCUGACAGCUUCAGAGCCAAGAGCCUCCAGAAUCCUUUUUGGUAAGGAAUGUCAGCUACAAGGGGAAUCCCUACCUCACCAUCUACACAGAGUUCAAAGGAAAUGCAGAUUUAAUCAUUUGGUUUCUGUGUGACUUUCAAGUCAAAGUGAAACUAGAAUGUGAAUAUCAGAGCGUGUGAACCUUUUUGGUACGAAGCCUGGGUUCCCCUCUUACUGCUGCGGUGUGUAGAGGAUUGUGCAAUGUAAUAGCAGCAUCCAAGAUACACAGGGUCUCUGCUUCGACUCUCAAGAUGACUGCUGAUGCUCGGAGCUGAGCUGCAGAGUGCAGCAGCUCAUUGUUUGGGCCAGGAGUGUGCACGUGAAAAAUGACUCGCCGCACACUCUGCUUCCAUUCUGGUGCUCCGGGAAUGGAUUGACUUCAAAGAACUCUUUAAAAAUUAAAGUUAGGGGGACUGGAGAGAUGGCUCACUGGUUGAGAUUACUGACCGCUCUUCCAGAGGAGCCAGGUUCAAUUCCCAGCACCUAUAUGGCAGUUCAUAACUGUCUGUAACUCCAAGAUCUGACACCCUGAUGCAGACAUACAUGCAAACAAAACACCAAUGCACAUGAAAUAAAACUAAACUUAGAAUGCCACCUAGCAGUAGUGAAACUAAGUUCAAUCCCCAGAGCCAUUAAAUAAAUAUAAUGCAUGUAUAUGCAUAUAUACAUAUACAUAAUCUAUUUAUAAUUUAUAUUUCUCCAUUGGUGAACAAAAGUUAGAAUACAUGUUCAUUGUUAAAAAUAAGAAACAGAACACGGGUGAUGACCAACCUAAACAUCACCAGUGUGGUCUUACACAAAUAGGUUCCCUUUUCUUAUUUCAUUUAGAAACCCACUAAGCAAUUGGUGUAAUACUCCAUUUAGAGCAAGAACACCACAGAGUUGUCUCUGAUAUCCACAUAAAUGCUAUGACAUGCUUGCCUCCCUAUAUACACACAUCAUGUAUGUGUGUGUGUAAACACAUACACACACACACACACACACACACACACACACAGAGAGAGAGAGAGAGAGAGAGAGAGAGAGAGAGAGAGAGAGAGAGAUAUUAAAAAUAAAUCUAGUACCAGAACCUGAGUUUGAUCCCCCAAACCAUGUAAAAAAAAAAUCCAACCAUGUGAUGUAUGCUUGUAAUUCUAGCUCAGGGGAGGGAGAGCCAGGCAGACAGAUCCCUUUGUCUGAAGAAAGAAAGUGGAUGUCUCCAUGGAAGGACACCUGAAGUUAACCUCUGACCCCCACAGGCAUGCACAUGCAUAUGAACAUGUACCCACACACAUGAACAUACACAGGAAAACACUUCUCUUACGCCAUGCAUACCAUAAUUUGUAUAAAAUUCCACCAUAAAGGAGAGCUGGUUUCAGCUUCCUUUAUUAUAAACUAUACUGCAGCAACUAUAUGUGAAUACACAUUUUUUUCUGUUUAGCAUCAAUUUCGUACUAUUAAAUUUUCAAAAAAU